UUUUUUUACAGAGAUGUAUUUCUCAAAAGACCCACAGACAUUCGAGAGUAUGCAGCAGAUUACUUCACCGACCCAAACCUUGGUUUGAUCAUUGGCUCCAAACUGCAGGGCGAUCCUGCCGACACAGGCAUAGACUGAAUCCUUACCGGAUUGUUUGGCAGUUCAACUGUUAUUGAAGUGUAAAGCUGUAACAGGCCUCUUUCUCUGUGUUCUGUACGUCCUCUGUAUUGACUAGUUAUGUGUCAAAGUAACGUGAUACAAAUGAUAAAACAUGAUAUAAAGUG